rnacentral:rRNA from 1 species
UACGGAGGGUGCAAGCGUUAUCCGGAUUCACUGGGUUUAAAGGGUGCGUAGGAGGGCAGGUAAGUCAGUGGUGAAAUCUCCGAGCUUAAACUUGGAACUGCCGUUGAUACUAUCUGUCUUGAAUACCGUGGAGAUGAGCGGAAUAUGUCAUGUAGCGGUGAAAUGCUUAGAUAUGACAUAGAACACCAAUUGCGAAGGCAGCUCGUUACAACGAAUAUUGACUCUGAGGCACGAAAGCGUGGGGGAUCAAACAGGA